AACGAACGCUGGCGGCAUGCCUAACACAUGCAAGUCGAACGAGAUCCGGCGGGUUGUAGCGGCGCACGGGUGCGGACGGCGGGGUAAUCUGUCGGAAGCUGCGGAGUAACAGUUAGAAAUGACUGCUAAUACCGGAUGAUGACGCAAAGUCCCUAGGUUUAUCGCCUGAGGAUGUGCCCGCGUGGCCUUAUCUGGUUAGUGUAGGAAAGGCGCACCAAGGCGACGAGCAUUAGCUGGGCUGGGAGGAUGGUCAGACACUCUUGGACUGGGACACGGUCCAGACUCCUACGGGAGGCAGCAGUGGCUAAUACUGGCCUGUCGGCUCAAGCAUGAUCCAGCAAUGACGCGUGAGCGAUGAAGGCUUUAGGGUUGUAAAGCUAUUUUACCCGGGAUGAUAAUGACAUUACCGGGAGAAUAAGCCCCGGCUAACUCCGUG
rnacentral:rRNA from 1 species